rnacentral:lncRNA from 1 species
GGCCUUCCCCCCAAGCAGUACCAUGAUGUCACCCAGCUGAAAAAAAGUGAUACAAUCAAUGAUGAACUGCUUCAUAAACCAUCAAACAGUUUGGCUAAACCACUGUGCCUGCCAUUCCCCAUCUGUCAUCCCUACCAGACACACAUCUCUAGGUACGCCAUGUUCCCAAACUUCAGAUCACCUGAGGAUCGAGACACUGGGACUGAUGCAAGCAGUCAUCAGCCUUUUCAUCCCAAUAUCCCCACCAAGCCUUUUGAUGUGGUUGUUCUGGGAAAGACCAGAGGUAAUACAGUACUCUGCUGGUUUAUUAUUUAUUCUUGAAACUUACUUAGAAACACU